rnacentral:rRNA from 1 species
GACGAACGCUGGCGGCGUGCUUAACACAUGCAAGUCGAACGGAAAGGCCCUGCUUUUGUGGGGUGCUCGAGUGGCGAACGGGUGAGUAACACGUGAGUAACCUGCCCUUGUCUUUGGGAUAACUUCAGGAAACUGGGGCUAAUACCGGAUAGGAGCUCCUGCUGCAUGGUGGGGGUUGGAAAGUUUCGGCGGUUGGGGAUGGACUCGCGGCUUAUCAGCUUGUUGGUGGGGUAGUGGCUUACCAAGGCUUUGACGGGUAGCCGGCCUGAGAGGGUGACCGGCCACAUUGGGACUGAGAUACGGCCCAGACUCCUACGGGAGGCAGCAGUGGGGAAUAUUGCACAAUGGGCGGAAGCCUGAUGCAGCAACGCCGCGUGCGGGAUGACGGCCUUCGGGUUGUAAACCGCUUUCGCCUGUGACGAAGCGUGAGUGACGGUAAUGGGUAAAGAAGCACCGGCUAACUACGUG